CCCGCCCACAUCCCCGGUUCCGGUUGCCGCCCCGCGGUCGCCCGAGCCGCCACCCGGGUUUACCUUUUCGGCUCCUAGUUUCCCGGUUGUCGCUGGGCGUUGAUGGCAGCCGACCUGGACGGUUCUCCUCCUCCCCGAGGCGUCUCUGGAGUUGAGGGCGCCGCUCACUCGGCUGCAGAAGGCGCAGGCAGGUGAAGGACGCUGGGUCUGUCGCGAGAUGGCAGUGGAAUGUGGCGGAGAAACCAGCCGGGAGGGGAAGCAAACCUGGAGAAUAUGGAAGAUAGCCCUCUGAUGCCCAUGACUACCUUCAGAUUUGUUAUAACCCCCUUAUUUUAAAGGGAAUGCUAUAUAUCAAUGAGAAGGAACAAACUACAGCUGUAUGAACCAACAUAGAUGAACUUCACAAACUUAAAGAUUCCACUACUACCUGAAGCGAGCUGGGGUGAAGCAGCCUCCAAAAGUUUGGGCAGCUCUCCGCCGCUUAACAAAGUAAGCGCCAACUCUAUUCUUCAAGUUUAGCUCAAGGUGACUGCUUCAGUUAUGAGUGAUGGUGUUGGUUACGGAGGUAUACUCAGGUUAUGGAAAUCGACUGAGAUAUAUACUUAUGAUACGUGCAUUUCAAUAAAAAGUUCAACAACAACAAAAUAAAAGCUACAAUGCAAUACCACUACACAUUCAUCAGAAUGGCUAAAAAUGAAACAGCAGAAAAUACCAAGUUUUGGAAGAUUACCCCUGAGCUAACUGCUGCCAAUCCUCCUCUUUU